GAUGAACGCUGGCGGCGUGCCUAAUACAUGCAAGUCGAGCGAACGGACGAGAAGCUUGCUUCUCUGAUGUUAGCGGCGGACGGGUGAGUAACACGUGUAUAACCUCCCUAUAAUACUGGUAUAAUUUCGGGAAACCGGAGCUAACACCGUAGGAUCUUUUGCAGCGCAUUGUUCAAAAGUGAAAUACGGUCGUUCUGGAACUACUAGAUGGAUCCGCGCUGCAUUAGCUAGUUGGUAAGGAAAAGGCUUACCAAGGCAACGAUGCAUAGCCGACCUGAGAGGGUGCUAGGCCACACUGGAAGUGAGCCGCGGUCCAGACUCCUACGGGAGGCAGCAGUCGGGAAUCUUACGCAGUGGGCGAAAGCCUGACGGAGCAACGCCGCGUGAGUGAUGAAGGUCCUGGGAUCGUAAAACUCUGUUAUUAGGGAAGAACAGAUUUGUAAGUAACUGUGCACAUCUUGACGGUACCUAAUCAGAAAGCCACGGCUAACUACGUG
rnacentral:rRNA from 1 species